rnacentral:rRNA from 1 species
AUGAGGUGCAUGCAGCGCAGGUUUAUACCAGCGCUGUAUGAACCUGGGUUGUAUGAUCUAGUAGAAGUCAAGCCGCAUUUGGAGUACAUUGCUAGGCACAUCAAAUUUCAGUCGAGGGAAAAGCGGUGCAAGAAUGAGUUUGUGAUCUCCGUGAGCGAGUCGGCUGAUGAGUUCGGGUGCGAGUGUGGGACAUUCGAGCACUAUGCAAUGGUUUGCAGCCAUGCACUUAAGGUCAUGAUACACCUGAAUUUGCAUGAGCUCCCUGCGAAGCAUGUGCUCAGGCGAUGGACUAGAUAUGCAAGAGAUAUACUACCGCCAGAGUAUCUGCGCUACCAGAAGGAUCAUCGACCGCUGAAGUAUUCUUCUCGUCAACGCAACACUUUGUACCUGCUAGCGCUUGAUGCCGUUAAGUUAGGCGACAGCAAUGUGGAAGCAUGUGCAUUUGCUAUGGAGAAAAUGCGAGAUGUCAAAGUGCAGGUCGAGCCAGUUGCCGCCAUGAGGGAUGGGCUUGGUUUGUCUGAUAUAGAGUUGGCUACAGAUUCAGCCGGCUCUGGCAUUGGUAACAAACAGCACUUUGGCCGAACUGGGUCUGAGCAGACCAUUUCGCAAGGAUCAGACGUGUUCCUGACGCCGUCAAGGAAACGACCGGCUGGGCGUCCCACAACUAGCCGCAACAAAGCUCCAUACGAGGAACCAUCAAAAGAGGAGUAG